rnacentral:lncRNA from 1 species
AUUUGAUAAACAUUUUUUAAAUGCAAAACAUAUAUGUGUGAAGAAGAAGAGUUACGUGGAUGGACAUUUGUAAAGAAAUUCAGUUUUAUUAGGAAGAAUAGUUUGGAGGAGGUUAGCAAAUCUUAAAAUGUAAAUAUAAAUUUUAUAUAAAAAAUGUAAAUACAAAAUGAGAAAACAGAUACUAAUAAGGCAGAAACUUUAAACAUUAUUCUGUUUUGCUGGAGUGCAUGAUUUGAACCGAUAGCAGUGUCAAGUAAUUGCUAUUUUAAUUUGUAUUUACAUUUGUUGUUUAUGAAUUUGUGUAUUGUGAAGUUGUAAUGGUCGAGAUAUAUAAAAUCAUUGAGAUGAUGGC